CCUACGGGUGGCAGCAGUGAGGAAUAUUGGUCAAUGGGCGCGAGCCUGAACCAGCCAAGUAGCGUGAAGGAAGACUGCCCUAUGGGUUGUAAACUUCUUUUAUAAAGGAAUAAAGUGAGCCACGUGUGUCUUUUUGUAUGUACUUUAUGAAUAAGGAUCGGCUAACUCCGUGCCAGCAACCGCGGUAAUACGGAGGAUCCGAGCGUUAUCCGGAUUUAUUGGGUUUAAAGGGUGCGUAGGUGGGUUGUUAAGUCAGUUGUGAAAGUUUGCGGCUCAACCGUAAAAUUGCAGUUGAUACUGGCAGUCUUGAGAACAGUAGAGGUAGGCGGAAUGCGUGGUGUAGCGGUGAAAUGCUUAGAUAUCACGAAGAACUCCGAUUGCGAAGGCAGCUUACCAAUCUACAUCUGACGUUGAGGCACGAAAGCGUGGGGAGCAAACAGGAUUAGAUACCCCAGUAGUC
rnacentral:rRNA from 1 species